rnacentral:misc_RNA from 1 species
AACUUACCUACAACGUUGCCUCGGCGGGAACAGACGGCCCCGUAGAACGGGCCGCCCCCGCCAGAGGACCCCCUAACUCUGUUUCUAUAAUGUUUCUUCUGAGUAAACAAGCAAAUAAAUUAAAACUUUCAACAACGGAUCUCUUGGCUCUGGCAUCGAUGAAGAACGCAGCGAAAUGCGAUAAGUAAUGUGAAUUGCAGAAUUCAGUGAAUCAUCGAAUCUUUGAACGCACAUUGCGCCCGCCAGUAUUCUGGCGGGCAUGCCUGUUCGAGCGUCAUUACAACCCUCAGACCCCCGGGUCUGGCGUUGGGGAUCGGCGGAGCCCUCUGCGGGCACACGCCGUCCCCCAAAUACAGUGGCGGUCACGCCGCAGCUUCCAUUGCGUAGUAGCUAACACCUCGCAACUGGAGAGCGGCGCGGCCAUGCCGUAAAACACCCAACUUCUGAA